GUUCAAUUGGUGGAGGUCGGAACCGGCCACUGCGAUGCACUCUCCUGUGGAGUUGGACCGUCAGUUGGGGAGAGACGGAGUCCUGUGUAGUCGACGGUCGGGAGGUGCGCCCCGGGUUACCCUCGGGUGCCGUGGUGACGUAUAGCCGCUCCGUCGUGGACUCUGUCGUCUUCCAGGUGCGAUUUGGACGUCUGUUCGUCCAGAAUGGGAAGGUGCAGUCUCCCUCGUCCGCGGGGGAGUUCGGGCCAUCUCGGCGGUUGCGCGCCGUUGCGGUGUCGUGUUCCGUUCUCUCCCCGCUUUGCCUCGGCGGGUGGGGCAGAGUGCGGCACGGCUCGCAUUCGUCGGUGUCCCGUCCGGGCUGUGAUCCAAGUCGA
rnacentral:misc_RNA from 1 species